rnacentral:rRNA from 1 species
AGUGAACGCUGGCGGUAGGCCUAACACAUGCAAGUCGAACGGCAGCACAGUAAGAGCUUGCUCUUACGGGUGGCGAGUGGCGGACGGGUGAGGAAUACAUCGGAAUCUACUUUUUCGUGGGGGAUAACGUAGGGAAACUUACGCUAAUACCGCAUACGACCUACGGGUGAAAGCAGGGGAUCUUCGGACCUUGCGCGAUUGAAUGAGCCGAUGUCGGAUUAGCUAGUUGGCGGGGUAAAGGCCCACCAAGGCGACGAUCCGUAGCUGGUCUGAGAGGAUGAUCAGCCACACUGGAACUGAGACACGGUCCAGACUCCUACGGGAGGCAGCAGUGGGGAAUAUUGGACAAUGGGCGCAAGCCUGAUCCAGCCAUACCGUGUGGGUGAAGAAGGCCUUCGGGUUGUAAAGCCCUUUUGUUGGGAAAGAAAAGCAGCAGGUUAAUACCCCGCUGUUCUGGCGGUACCCAAAGAAUAAGCACCGGCUAACUUCGUG